UGAGGAAUAUUGGGCAAUGCCCGAAAGGGUGACCCAGCAACGCCGCGUGGAGGAUGAAGGUCGUAAGAUUGUAAACUCCUGUUAGAGGGGAAGAAUAACUAAGUUUGGAGCUUAGUAUGACUGUACCCUCAGAGAAAGCCCCGGCUAACUACGUGCCAGCAGCCGCGGUAAUACGUAGGGGGCAAGCGUUGUCCGGAUUUACUGGGUGUAAAGGGCGCGCAGGCGGAAUGGAAAGUCAGUGGUGAAAUCCUACAGCUUAACUGUAGAACUGCCUUUGAUACUUUCAUUCUUGAGUUCGGGAGAGAGAGACGGAAUUCCAGGUGUAGUGGUGAAAUACGUAGAGAUCUGGAAGAACACCAGUUGCGAAGGCGGUCUCUUGGUCCGAUACUGACGCUGAGGCGCGAAAGCGUGGGGAGCAAACA
rnacentral:rRNA from 1 species